GCUGGCAUGGUGUAGUGGUUUGAGUGUUGGGCUACAACUCUGGAGAUGAGGGUUCAAUUCCCCGUUUGAGCA